CUGCUCAUCAGGGCAUGGUACUCUCCAUGUGGUCCUGACCUGCCUUUCAUUAGCAGAAGAAACUGGUUUGGGGGUACCCUAAGUGGGCGUAGGAGAUCAUGGUAUUCAGUACAAUG